GGGAGUUCAUGAUCCCCAGACUGAUAGCUGGGAAACCAGCAGACCCCAUGAACAUGGCUCUGGAUCAAUUUGGUCACCAGGAGUAGACAGAUUUCAUCUGAACCUUGUGACAGAAAUUCAUUUGGCACAGAGAAAUCAUUGAGGGAUUUGCAAUGCUUGUUGUCAAGGAAAUGAAUUUAAACACAGAAAAGGGGAAAAUCUUUUACUUAAGCAAGCAUGAUGGAAGGAAAGGAAAUGAAGGCUCACCGGAUACUUAAAGCUAUUCUGUCAGCUAAAUGUAUUUGAUGAGCACUUGAGCAUUGCCAUGGCCUACUAUGUAUGCUUACCUAGUAAUCUUGGCCAACUCUAUGUUUCUCAAGAGAGAAAUGUAAAUCCGUGAACCCACACUAUUAGUGUAAUUGUUUUAAAUUAAAAUAAAUAAACAUGUGAGUCAUCUGGA